GUCUAUGGCCCUACCACCUUGAACACAUUUGAUCUCAUCUGCUCCCAGACUCUAAAACAGAUUAUGCCUGGUUAAUACUAAAAUGGGAAACCACCUGGAAAUACAAGGUAUUAUAGGCU
ensembl:rRNA 5S_rRNA 5S ribosomal RNA